rnacentral:rRNA from 1 species
GAUGAACGCUGGCGGCGUGCCUAACACAUGCAAGUCGAACGGAGUUUAGCGCUGAUGAAGCUUCGGCAGAUUCUUGUUAAACUUAGUGGCGGACGGGUGAGUAACGCGUGGGUAACCUGCCUCAUACAGGGGGAUAGCAGUUGGAAACGACUGAUAACACCGCAUAAGCGCACAGGAUCGCAUGAUCUAGUGUGAAAAUAUUUAUAGGUAUGAGAUGGACCCGCGUCUGAUUAGCUAGUUGGUGAGGUAACGGCCCACCAAGGCGACGAUCAGUAGCCGGCCUGAGAGGGCGGACGGCCACAUUGGGACUGAGACACGGCCCAAACUCCUACGGGAGGCAGCAGUGGGGGAUAUUGCACAAUGGGCGAAAGCCUGAUGCAGCGACGCCGCGUGAGUGAAGAAGUAUUUCGGUAUGUAAAGCUCUAUCAGCANGGAAGAAAGACCUCGAAAGAGGAGAUGACGUNC